rnacentral:lncRNA from 1 species
UGAAAGCAAGAAUCUUCCACAAUCUGUAAUUGAAAAUGUUGGAGGAAAAAUUUUUACAUUUGGAUCUUACAGAUUAGGAGUGCAUACAAAAGGCUGUUGAAGAGGCAUUCGUACCAGUUAUUAAACUCUGUUUUGAUGGGAUAGAGAUUGAUAUUUUGUUUGCAAGAUUAGCACUGCAGACAAUUCCUGAAGAUUUGGAUCUACGAGAUGACAGUCUGCUAAAAAAUUUAGAUAUAAGAUGUAUAAGAAGUCUUAACGGUUGCAGGGUAACCGAUGAAAUUUUACAUCUAGUACCAAACAUUGACAACUUCAGGUUAACUCUGAGAGCUAUCAAACUAUGGGCCAAACGCCACAACAUCUAUUCCAAUAUAUUAGGUUUCCUCGGUGGUGUUUCCUGGGCUAUGCUAGUAGCAAGAACUUGCCAGCUUUAUCCAAAUGCAAUAGCAUCAACUCUUGUACAUAAAUUUUUCUUGGUAUUUUCUAAAUGGUAUGUGUUUAGAUUAUAUUAAAAUAAAAUUGAUUGUAGACACUGAA